rnacentral:rRNA from 1 species
AACGAACGCUGGCGGCAUGCCUAACACAUGCAAGUCGAACGAUGCCUUCGGGCAUAGUGGCGCACGGGUGCGUAACGCGUGGGAAUCUGCCCUUGGGUUCGGAAUAACUCAGAGAAAUUUGAGCUAAUACCGGAUGAUGACGUAAGUCCAAAGAUUUAUCGCCCAAGGAUGAGCCCGCGUAAGAUUAGCUAGUUGGUGGGGUAAAGGCCUACCAAGGCGACGAUCUUUAGCUGGUCUGAGAGGAUGAUCAGCCACACUGGGACUGAGACACGGCCCAGACUCCUACGGGAGGCAGCAGUGGGGGAAUAUUGGACAAUGGGCGAAAGCCUGAUCCAGCAAUGCCGCGUGAGUGAUGAAGGCCUUAGGGUGUAAAGCUCUUUUACCAGGGAUGAUAAUGACAGUACCU